rnacentral:rRNA from 1 species
UACAGAGGAUGCAAGCGUUAUCCGGAAUGAUUGGGCGUAAAGCGUCUGUAGGUGGCUUUUUAAGUCCGCCGUCAAAUCCCAGGGCUCAACUCUGGACAGGCGGUGGAAACUACCAAGCUGGAGUACGGUAGGGGCAGAGGGAAUUUCCGGUGGAGCGGUGAAAGUGCGUAGAGAUCGGGAAAGAACACCAACGGCGAAAGCAGCUCUGCUGG